CAGACGCCGCCUGCCUUCUGCCACCGCAGGCUCCCGUGACCAUCCGAGUGGGAAAGCCUCAGCCUGAAGCACCAGGUGGAGCCGUCCUCAGUCCUGGUUCUCAAAAACUCUGUACGGCAACUGAAUGUGUGCUUUUUAGUUACUGCUUUAUCUACGAGGACUUUGUUAAAAGCCUCAGGAACUGUUGUGAAGACACUGCGCUCAUCCUUCCACGUGGGGGCGCUGUCGUACAGCAGCACAGCCUAUGAAUCCCUCCUCUUAUGGCAAAGACGAAACACUUCCAUCCGGACCCCUCAAGCUGGGACUCAGCUCCACACAUCAUCAAGUUGUCACUGGACACUUGAGUUAAGUACUUUUACCUUCUUAAAUAUACAAUUCAAUUUUCAUGAAUAGUGAGAUUUGUCACAAUAUCCCAUUCAUAUCCCGUUGAGCAGAUUGAGUACCUCGCAUGACAUGUUAAUUGCUUCGAUUUUUGACAGCUAAAAAAUCACACAGUGGCAUAUGCUUUCAAAGGAGUACUUGCGAUUCAAAAAUAUCCAAUUUAUAUUCUUUUUUAUUAGCAUUGUAUAAAAAUAUCACGAGCAAGCCUUCCCCUUAACUUUCUCAAUUGUGAUCAACAAAGGUUAACGUUAGGGGGGAAAAAUGAGGUUUCCAUACAUAGCAGUUUCCUGCUGGUGAAGAAGGAGUGACUCUCAAUUCAUCCCCUCUGUUGUGGUGAGAACUGGAAGGUUAUGAAUGAAUUCCUUGUGCUCCUGUUAGCCAAGGACUACUUAAAUAUUUCAUUUUGGAAAAAAAAAAAGUUCUCACCAAGAAUAACUGAAGCUUGAGUUCCAGAAGGUACUCCAUCAAUAACUGUAAAAAUAUAAUGUAAUCAGAACAAAUGGCAGCUCCCAGGUCAACCAUCCAAUAGUGCUGAUUUUAUUUUUUUUAUUCUGUAAUUUUUAUUGACACAAAGGAUAAAAAUCAGUAGGUACAGGGGGACAGCUGAGCUGGUUUGUUUCCAUCUCUUAUCUCUGACACAGAGAGCUUCUCGCUGGAAGAAACCACUCCGCCCAGUGCGCAGUGAGAAUAGAAUGCUGGACCUCUCACCUACCAGGCAACCCUGGUUGGUUCUCUGGCUGCUCCCUGGGCGGGGCCCCUCUCAACACAGACAGAAACCAGUUGGUUUCUGGUUGGGAGGCUCCCAGUAGCUGGGGGGAGGGAGAGUGGGCAGAAAACUCAGGACAGGAACACCCAACUGUUCUGAGUGCUUUGGGCUUUGGUUCAGGUCUCAGUGAGACAAGGAAGGGGUCCCAGUGAGGUUGCCCAAAUGCUGUGUAGCUUGCCACACAGGCCUCCAGCUUCCUGCUCUCUUGCAGUAGGAGCAUAGAAGAUCAGGUUGCUGUACACAGCCCUGAGGAGUACCAUCAACUUCGCACCCGUUUUGAGGUGUUCCUUUCCUCGCCCCCAUCCACAGGCUCCUCCCUGGGGCCCUGCACACCGUGUCCUUCCUCUUUCUGGAAUGUAUAUGUGUGCCCCAGUCCCUAGACAGGACCCAAUUGGUGAUGUGAUGCCUCUCGCUGAGUGGUCAUCAGCAGGGAAUGAAGGAAAGCUGAAAGGGUCUGAUUGAAACAAAUAUACUGCAAGCGGGGAAAAAAGGUGACAGAUUUACGUUUUCAUGUCUUUUAAUUAAAAAAAAAAAUCUGAGGCAGUUUAUCAGUCACUUGUCCUGUUGCUGAGAUAAAAUUCUUCCCACAAAACCAACUUAAACUGCUAUCUGUCCAACGCCAGCAUCAGCCUGUCACCCAGUCACACUGCCUUGCUACUGAACAUUGUUCUAUGGUUAAAUUAUACAUAUACAUGUACAUAAUUUUAAAGCAACUUAAGAGACUUUGGCUCACAAUUGAGGGUGGGAUGUGACAGUGGCGGGAAUGCGAGGCCCUGGUCACAAGGCGCCCACACUUGGGAACAGCGAUAGAUGAACACUGAUGCUCAGCCCAAUUCCUCCUCUUUAUUCACCCAUGGGACUUGGUCUCCCAGUUAGGCUGGGUCUUUCUGCUUCAAUUAAUCUAAUCUAGACAACCCCUCGCAGGCACACCCAGGGUCUGUCUCCUGUUUGCCAUUUCUCGAGCCCUUUCUAUUUUUAAUAAAAUCUUAACUCUGCUUCUCACUGACUAGCCCUGAAAUCCUUUUGUGUUUCAAAAACCGCAGACCUCAUUUUGCAGCACAGUUCCUAACAGAACCAGGGAAGUCUUCAGGCCGCUGAAGAUGAUAGCAAGUCCUUGUAGCAUCCAACGGGGUGACUAUCAGAAGCCACCAAAUCUCCUUGUGUCCAACACAAUCACAAAGCCCGUGAGGAUGGCCACCAGCAAAGUGGUGUCGACAUGCAAAACAUCAGAACCCUUAAUGAAAAUUUAAAGAUGUGAGUUAUGGGAAUAAACUGGUUACUCACACUCGAAAGGACCCUGGUUCAAUUCCCAGAACCCACAUGGCAGCUCAUGACUGUAUGUAACUCCAGUUCCAGGGGAUCCCACACAGACACACAGGUAAACUAAACCCCAAUGCACAUAAAAUUAAAAGUAAAUCAAAGGAUAAAAAAUUUAAAAAAAAUUUAUGUGUGUUUGUGUGCACAUGUGCUAAAAGAGGAAAUCAGAUUCCCUGGAGCUGGCAUUACAGGCUGCGAGCUGCCUGAUGUGGGUGCCGAGAAUUAAACUCUGACCCUCUGCAAAGGCGUCAGGUGCUCUCAGUCACUGAGCCAUCUCUCCGGCCCUGUGGAGACAUGUGUAUUUCAUUUUCUGUGAACUUCCUACACAGUCUGCCCAUUUCUCUUCUUAAUAUGGAAGUUCUUAUAUAAGCAUAUAUAAGAGUAUAUUCUAUAUAAGUUUGAAAGGUCCUUCCUCCUAAAUACAAAUGUCAAUCUUUACUCAGCUCCUGCCUUGAGUCUCCUUAUGCCUUUUGUUUGAGCAUUUGUUGUUUGUUUCUUCUGUGUGCAGAUCCAUUUCUUUCUAUCUAGCCCAUCUUACCAGUUUACUGAUACCUCCUCCUACUGGUUCACUUAGAAAGGCGUGUGUGUGUGUGUGUGUGUGUGUGUGUGUGUGUGUGUGUGUGUAUGAGUGAGUAUGUGUGUGCAUGUGUGUGAGCUUAUGAGUGCAUGUGUGUUUGCCUGCAUGUAUAUGCGUGCAUGUGUGCAUAUGUGUGUGGAUGUGUGUGCACGUGUAUGAGUGAGUUCAUGAGUGCAUUUACAUGUGUGAGUGUGUAGGUGUGUUCAAGAGUGCGGCCAUUUAAAAAUGUUUUCUUGAUGCCAUCCCAAGAUUUUCAAACAUGUAAUUUUAAGUCACAUCUAAGUCAUGUUGGGAAGAGUUCAGCUCAGCAGAAUUAGUUGGGGAUGAUAGAGGAUGUUCAGAGUAGCAAACCAGGAAAGAACCGGCACACAGAAUGCUUUCCCUUUGAGCAUAGUUUUAAAGGCUCUGUUCCAAGAUGGACAGAGAUUGUGCAUGCCUUUAAUACUAGCACUGGGGAGGCAGAGGCAGGCAGAUCUCUGAGUUCAAGGCCAGCCUAGUCUACAAAGUGAGUUCCACAACAACCAAGGCUAUACAGAGAAACCGUGUCUGAAAACAUCCAGAAAGAAUAGGCUCGCUGAGAAACAGAAAAGCAAAGCCCGCCUCUGACAUCACAAUAAUUGGAUAAAUAGGUUCCAUUUCUGAUCAAACUGGAGGAAGCCCACUACGCCCUGUGUCUCACUCUUAUUGUUAAAACAUCUGACAAAAUAUACCAGCAAUGAAGUAAAUGGCAGCAGUGGACUGGACGGGGAACCCCAAAGUUGAAGAGAGAUCAGUGCAGGCCUGGCUGAAAUGAGAGCUAACAAUCAGAAAUGAUCAGGAAACAACUCCAACCACAGUGAGCAAGAUAAAGCGAGGUGACCCCUGUGAAACGUCAUUGGAGCCCUCCAAAGGGUCCACAACCCACAGGUUGAGGACCACUGUUCUAGAGGAAGCAACUGGAAAGAAGGACUCUUGGGAACAUGAGAGCAUGGAGCCUUGCAAAGGGGGUUGUUACAUAGCAAAGAAUAACUAAGACAUGCCUGUCCUAGCCUGCUUCUUUGGUUGCUCCAAUAAAAUUUAGACCAGAACUAACGUGGGAAGGAAAGGGCUUAUUUGACUUAUAGUCCAUCAUUAAGGUAAGCCAGGUCAAGAGCUCAAGGCAGGGUCCUGGAGACAGAAGCAAAGCCAAGACCCAGCCCGCACCCAUACCACCACGAGGACCGCUAGCGAGGCCCCACCCCUCCGGAUGAGGCUCCCUUUCUGCCGUGAGUGAC
rnacentral:lncRNA from 1 species